rnacentral:rRNA from 1 species
GAUGAUCGCUGACAGAAUGCUUAACACAUGCAAGUCCACUUGAAUUUGGGUUUUUAACUUAGGUUUGGGUGGCGGACGGGUGAGUAACGCGUAAAGAACUUGCCUCACAGCUAGGGACAACAUUUGGAAACGAAUGCUAAUACCUAAUAUUAUGAUAAUAGGGCAUCCUAUAAUUAUGAAAGCUAUAAGCGCUGUGAGAGAGCUUUGCGUCCCAUUAGCUAGUUGGAGAGGUAACGGCUCACCAAGGCGAUGAUGGGUAGCCGGCCUGAGAGGGUGAUCGGCCACAAGGGGACUGAGACACGGCCCUUACUCCUACGGGAGGCAGCAGUGGGGAAUAUUGGACAAUGGACCGAGAGUCUGAUCCAGCAAUUCUGUGUGCACGAUGAAGUUUUUCGGAAUGUAAAGUGCUUUCAGUUGGGAAGAAACAAAUGACGGUACCAACAGAAGAAGUGACGGCUAAAUACGUG